rnacentral:tRNA from 1 species
GUGGCUAUAGCUCAGUCUGGUUAGAGCGUCGGCUUGUGGUGCCGAAGGUCGCGGGUUCGAGCCCCGUUAGCCACCCCA